AACCAUGGUGGGCGUAUUUCCUCAUGAGCAUAUUGGGUGUGAUAUAUGUUAUAUUUGUGGGAUAUUUGGCAUUUGGAAUUGAGCUAUCACACAAGAUAAAGUGCUGGACACUAAAGAAGAUGGGGAGGAUAGAAUAUACCAGAUUGGAAGAGGACUUUGCUACAAUGAGACCACGCUAUCCCCAGUCCCCACCAUUACCACAGGAAAAGACAGAAGACGGGGAAGGGAUCCAGUGAUGUAGAUCCAGUCACUGGCCACGGGAAGAGAAUUAAAGAUGGGGGACUAUUAAGAAUUCAGUGACAAACUCUCUCUCUCUCUCUCUCUCUUGCCAACAUAUUCUAAUUUUCUACUGCUUUGUCACACAAAAAAUAUAUUC